rnacentral:rRNA from 1 species
GGGAGCCGGAGGGAAACCGAGUCUUAACCGGGCGUUAAGUUGCAGGGUAUAGACCCGAAACCCGGUGAUCUAGCCAUGGGCAGGUUGAAGGUUGGGUAACACUAACUGGAGGACCGAACCGACUAAUGUUGAAAAAUUAGCGGAUGACCUGUGGCUGGGGGUGAAAGGCCAAUCAAACCGGGAGAUAGCUGGUUCUCCCCGAAAGCUAUUUAGGUAGCGCCUCGUGAAUUCAUCUCCGGGGGUAGAGCACUGUUUCGGCUAGGGGGCCAUCCCGGCUUACCAACCCGAUGCAAACUGCGAAUACCGGAGAAUGUUAUCACGGGAGACACACGGCGGGUGCUAACGUCCGUCGUGAAGAGGGAAACAACCCAGACCGCCAGCUAAGGUCCCAAAGUCAUGGUUAAGUGGGAAACGAUGUGGGAAGGCCCAGACAGCCAGGAUGUUGGCUUAGAAGCAGCCAUCAUUUAAAGAAAGCGUAAUAGCUCACUGGUCGAGUCGGCCUGCGCGGAAGAUGUAACGGGGCUAAACCAUGCACCGAAGCUGCGGCAGCGAACGUAUCACUUAAAGCGAUUCAGCGGGUUACGAUUGACGGAGCGAAGCGACGUCAAAGCGUAUACAAAGUCGAGUCGGUUUAAGGAUACGUUCGUUGGGUA